rnacentral:rRNA from 1 species
UACGUAGGGUGCGAGCGUUAAUCGGAAUUACUGGGCGUAAAGUGUGCGCAGGUGGCUGAGCAAGUCGAGUGUGAAAUCCCCGGGCUUAACUUGGGAAUUGCGCUCGAAACUACUUAGCUCGAGUGUGGCAGAGGAAGGUGGAAUUCCAGGUGUAGCGGUGAAAUGCGUAGAGAUCUGGAGGAACACCGAUGGCGAAGGCAGCCUUCUGGGCCAACACUGACACUCAUGCACGAAAGCGUGGGGAGCAAACAGG